AGAGUUUGAUCCUGGCUCAGAAUGAACGUUGGCGGCGUGGAUUAGGCAUGCAAGUCGAGGGAGAACCCGCAAGGGGGACACCGGCGAACGGGGUAGGAUCACGUAGGUGACGUACCCCCAGGGCGAGGAUAGCCACGGGAAACUGUGGGUAAUACUCGAUAAUCUUCCCGGUCGUGAUGGCUGGGAAGCAAUGGGUGUGAUUCCACCUGGGGAGCGGCUUACGCAGUAUCAGCUAGUUGGUGAGGUAACGGCUCACCAAGGCUUUGACGCUUAGGGGGUGUGAGAGCAUGGCCCCCACCACUGGCACUGAGACACUGGCCAGACACCUACGGGUGGCUGCAGUCGAGAAUCUUCGGCAAUGGACGAAAGUCUGACCGAGCGACGCCGCGUGCGGGAUGAAGGUCUUCGGAUUGUAAACCGCUGUCAGAGGGGAUGAAGUAUACGAGAGCAAUCUCUUGUA
rnacentral:rRNA from 1 species